rnacentral:rRNA from 2 species
CUUCGGAGGUUAGCGGCGGACGGGUGAGUAACACGUGGGCAACCUGCCUGUAAGACUGGGAUAACUCCGGGAAACCGGAGCUAAUACCGGAUAGUAUCUUGAACCGCAUGGUUCAAGUUGGAAAGACGGUUUCGGCUGUCACUUACAGAUGGGCCCGCGGCGCAUUAGCUAGUUGGUGAGGUAAUGGCUCACCAAGGCAACGAUGCGUAGCCGACCUGAGAGGGUGAUCGGCCACACUGGGACUGAGACACGGCCCAGACUCCUACGGGAGGCAGCAGUAGGGAAUCUUCCGCAAUGGACGAAAGUCUGACGGAGCAACGCCGCGUGAGUGAUGAAGGUUUUCGGAUCGUAAAACUCUGUUGUUAGGGAAGAACAAGUGCGAGAGUAACUGCUCGCACCUUGACGGUACCUAACCAGAAAGCCACGGCUAACUACGUGCCAGCAGCCGCGGUAAUACGUAGGUGGCAAGCGUUGUCCGGAAUUAUUGGGCGUAAAGCGCGCGCAGGCGGUUUCUUAAGUCUGAUGUGAAAGCCCCCGGCUCAACCGGGGAGGGUCAUUGGAAACUGGGAAACUUGAGUGCAGAAGAGGAGAGUGGAAUUCCACGUGUAGCGGUGAAAUGCGUAGAGAUGUGGAGGAACACCAGUGGCGAAGGCGACUCUCUGGUCUGUAACUGACGCUGAGGCGCGAAAGCGUGGGGAGCGAACAGGAUUAGAUACCCUGGUAGUCCACGCCGUAAACGAUGAGUGCUAAGUGUUAGAGGGUUUCCGCCCUUUAGUGCUGCAGCUAACGCAUUAAGCACUCCGCCUGGGGAGUACGGUCGCAAGACUGAAACUCAAAGGAAUUGACGGGGGCCCGCACAAGCGGUGGAGCAUGUGGUUUAAUUCGAAGCAACGCGAAGAACCUUACCAGGUCUUGACAUCCUUUGCCACUUCUAGAGAUAGAAGGUUCCCCUUCGGGGGACAAAGUGACAGGUGGUGCAUGGUUGUCGUCAGCUCGUGUCGUGAGAUGUUGGGUUAAGUCCCGCAACGAGCGCAACCCUUGAUCUUAGUUGCCAGCAUUCAGUUGGGCACUCUAAGGUGACUGCCGGUGACAAACCGGAGGAAGGUGGGGAUGACGUCAAUCAUCAUGCCCCUUAUGAC